GCCUGCAUUAGCACGAUGCUCGGGGUAGACAGUGAUCAACCUCAGGACCUGUGAGCACUUCAGUAGCAGCUCCAUCCAAGGGUCAGAUGAGACACAAAAGGAGACCAAAAAAAAAAAAAAUCUCUUUAGCUACUUGGCAGGAAAAUCAUAUAAAAGGAAGGCUUCAGAUUGUGUUGGCAUCUCGUCUUUCCAGGAAAGCGAGGAAGGGCUUCAUGAGAGUGCCUUCGUGUAGCCACUGAUUUCAUGACAGCUGACACUUCAGAUGUUAAGACCUUCCUCCAGAACAUGAUCCAGUCACAGCCCAGCUGAUCCUGCCUCCCUCACAUCUUCCAUCAUCCCACUCCAUUCAAUGAGGAGGAGGAGCUAGCUAUGAGACUCAUUGGUGAUGACUCACCUGCCAGUCUGGGCUCCUUCAAUAUCCCCUCAUUAACAGUGACAUGAGUCUAUGUCGAGGAUGGAAAGACAGAAGUUUACAACCUGCUCAACCCUGUUCCAGGCACCAGAAGGCAAAGCAAGAGCCUAUCAUUAUCUCCUCAGCUCAGGUUCUUUGAGAAAAUUGCCAGUGCUGAACAAUAGGAGGGAGGAGAGAGGUCUGAGGCCCUGUUGGUGACUUUCCUCAUGCUGCCAUCUUAUUAUACCCAAAUUUUACUUUGGGUGAAAUAAAUGAGAAUAAAAAUGGACAAAUGCUUGCUGAGCAGAAAACUAAAGCAAGGUGACAUUUACAUGUUUGGCAAGUUCUUCUUAACUCGUGACAGUCUUGGAAGUUGCUUCUCAGCACAUGUUGUGACACUACAUAAUGGAGCCUUCCCCAUGGAGACGGGAGCUCCCUCCUUCUGGGCUGUGUGGCCUUUCCAACAUUGGAUCUAGUGAUCAAUGUAUCUCCUCUCAGGAUUGGGGGUCCCAUGACUGUUCUCACUCAUCCUGUCCCUCUAGAAUCCAUCCAGGAGAGCAGAAGCCCCUCAAGGGCAGGAAUCCUCUCUCCCCCUGUAGCCAGAGACCAGCAGAACUAAAGAGGUGGGUAAGAGGCUAAGGCACAGAUCCGGGGAGGGGCUCCUGACCUGGGGCCCUUCAGCCAGGUGACCUCACUAGAGGAUGGCAGGAGGAGACAUAUUUGAGUCUUUAGUGGAGAGUGUGGUGGUGGUGGUAGGAGGGAGACAUAGUGGCAAUCCCCCCAUAGAGAGAGGGCCUGGGACUGGUUCUCUUCAAUGGAAGUGGCAUUCUGGGGGGCUCCCAAGGGUCCUAUGUCUUUUAAAAUAAA